rnacentral:rRNA from 1 species
AUUGAACGCUGGCGGCAUGCCUUACACAUGCAAGUCGAACGGUAACAGGUCUUCGGAUGCUGACGAGUGGCGAACGGGUGAGUAAUACAUCGGAACGUGCCUAGUAGUGGGGGAUAACUACUCGAAAGAGUGGCUAAUACCGCAUGGGAUCUACGGAUGAAAGCAGGGGAUCGCAAGACCUUGUGCUACUAGAGCGGCCGAUGGCAGAUUAGGUAGUUGGUGGGAUAAAAGCUUACCAAGCCGACGAUCUGUAGCUGGUCUGAGAGGACGAUCAGCCAAACCGGGACUGAGAAACGGCCCAGACUCCUACGGGAGGCAGCAGUGGGGAAUUUUGGACAAUGGGCGCAAGCCUGAUCCAGCAAUGCCGCGUGCAGGAUGAAGGCCUUCGGGUUGUAAACUGCUUUUGUACGGAACGAAAAGCCCCGGGUUAAUACCCUGGGGUCAUGACGGUACCGUAAGAAUAAGCACCGGCUAACUACGUGCCAGCCGCCGCGGUAA